rnacentral:rRNA from 1 species
CGGGUGAGUAACACGUGGAUAACCUACCUAUAAGACUGGGAUAACUUCGGGAAACCGGAGCUAAUACCGGAUAAUAUAUUGAACCGCAUGGUUCAAUAGUGAAAGACGGUUUUGCUGUCACUUAUAGAUGGAUCCGCGCCGCAUUAGCUAGUUGGUGGGGUAACGGCUCACCGAGGCGACGAUACAUAGCCGACCUGAGAGGGUGAUCGGCCACACUGGGACUGAGACACGGCCCAG